UUUUAACCCCGAUUGCAGCGGAAAUCCUUUGCUUUUUUUCUUUAGAAAAGCAAAGAUUAUAGCGAAAAGCGGGGAUAUGG
rnacentral:sRNA from 1 species